UACGGAGGAUCCGAGCGUUAUCCUGAUUUAUUGGGUUUAAAGGGUGCGCAGGCGGGGGAUUAAGUCGGCGGUGAAAUUUUGCAGCUCAACUGUAAAAGUGCCUUCGAAACUGGUUUCCUUGAGUGUAGAUGAAGUAGGCGGAAUUUGUGGUGUAGCGGUGAAAUGCAUAGAUAUCACGAGGAACUCCGAUUGCGCAGGCAGCUUACUAAACUACUACUGACGCUCAGGCACGAAGGCGUGGGGAUCAAACAGGAUUAGAUACCCCUGUA
rnacentral:rRNA from 1 species